rnacentral:rRNA from 1 species
AUGUACUUAGCCAGUGCUACAGGACCUGACAUCUCUUUUGCUGUUAGCAAACUGAGUCGGUUUGUCUCAAAACCAGCAGAUGUGCAUUGGAAAGCUCUAGAGAGAGUUUUGCGGUACUUGAAAGGCACUGCGAAUUAUGGAAUUCACUACACUGGGCACCCAAAGGUGCUUGAAGGGUAUAGUGACUCAAACUGGAUCUCAGAUGCUGACGAGAUAAAGGCCACGAGCGGAUAUGCAUUCACUCAUGGAGGUGGCGCUGUUUCUUGGAAGUCUUGCAAGCAGACCAUCUUAACGAGGUCAACAAUGGAAGCAGAACUCACAGCCCUAGAUACAGCUACGGUCGAAGCAGAUUGGCUUCGUCGGCUCUUGAAUGACUUGCCGGUUGUUGAGAAACCUGUACCGGGCAUCCUUAUGAACUGCGAUAAUCCAACUGUGAUCACGAAAGUGAGCAGCUCAAAGGAUAACAUGAAGUCAUCAAGACACGUUCAGAGAAGGUUAAAAUCUGUCAGGAAAAUGAGAAACUCCGGAGUUAUUGCAUUGGAUUAUAUCCAAACGUCUAAGAAUCUGGCAGAUCCUUUUACUAAGGGUCUAUCACGUAAUGUGAUAGAUAAUGCAUCGAGGGAGAUGGGUAUGAGACCCACA